CCAAUAACAUUUUUCGUAGCAAGAUGGAAAAUAGAGAGUGUGAAAUACGCAUAGUAAAUGGAACAAGUUGUGCGUUUUAUCGCUAUAUGCAUUCAGUUAAACAUGGAGUUUGGUUUAUGAAUCCUCCUGAAUGUUUAAAAAGUAAAGGAGAAGGAAAAUGUAUUGCUAAGUUUACAAAAACAAUGGGUAAUUUUUAUGGUAUAUUACAAUAUUGUGUAGUUAUAAAUAAUGAAGAAUAUAUUUUAAAUAUAAGAUUUGAUAUCCCUUUAUUAGGUGAUAAUACUGCUAUGGCUGUUUUAGGUAUAAAUAUAAAAAAUAGUGUAAAACAAAUUUUAUCACAUCAAAAUUAUUUUUUAGUUAAACAUAGUUUUGAUAAUAUGUAUAAUAGUAAAUUUUAUAUAAAUAUAAUAGAAACAGAAGAAGGGAAAAAGUUUGUUGAGUAUCAUAAAAGAAAAUUAAAAAAAGGUUUAUUAAGAGUGUUAAGUAUAAGAAAUAUAGAAGAAAAAGAGAAAUUAAGAAAAGCGAAUAUGGCUAAUUCGAUAAAAAAAUAUGACAACAACAAUAUGAACAAUAAUAAUAAUAAUAUUAUAACUGCUAAUAAUAAUAAUUUUUAUAAUAAUAGUAUUACAGAAGGUAUUAAUAAUGUUGAUAAUAGUAUAUUAAUAAAUGGAAACCGGGUAUAUAAUAAUAACAGUAAUAAUAAUAUGUAUCAGUCAAAAGAAAACAUACUAGAAAUUUUACCAAUUAGUUUUAUUGUUAAUAUAAAAAAUUAUGAAUGGAAAAAAAGAUUAAGAAAAGCUCAUAAAUCUUUAUAUAUAUUGAUUAUAAAUUUUACAAAACAAACUUUGGUUUUAUCCACAUCUAAAGGGAAUAGUAAAUCAACUUCAUUGAUUGAAGGUAAUUGGGUAGAGUUUCCUUAUGAAAAAAUUUGUUCAUUACGUUGUAGUGAAUUUGGUUGUAAUAGUGAUGGUAUGUUUUCAAGUAUUAACGGUAAUUGUACAUAUAAUUUUAUGAGCGAGUCAUGUUAUUUAAAUAUUUAUUGGGAUAUUAAUAGUGUAAAUUCUAAAAUUAAAUGUAAUAUAAAAAAUUCUACAAAAUAUACUAUAAUAAAAAAUGUAGAAAUAUAUAAUGAAUGUACAGCUGUUUUUCAUGUUUUAGAAUAUUAUUAUUAUCCUCCUGUUAAAAUAUUAGAAUGUAGAGCUAUAACAAAUAAUAUAAUAAAUGAAUAUGGUAUUACAAAAAAUAAUUUAGAUGCUAAUAUGAAUAUAAUACAUCAAUGUAGUAUAAAUGUUAUUAGACAAUUCUGUCAAUACACACAAAAUAAUAAUACAUCUUAUGAAAAUUAUUCAGAUGAAGAAUUUGUAAAUAUUAAUCCUUUUUUAAAAAAAACGGUUAAUAAUUUUCAUAAAAUUCGGCAUUAUGAUGGUAUUGUUAGUGCAGAUAUGUCAAACAUGCAAAACAAUUUUUCUUUUUCUACUAAUAGUAAUAAUGAAAAAAAAAAAAAAAAAAAAAAAAAAAAAAUCAUUCAUUUGGCAGUGUUACUAAUGCAGACGAAAGGGUCAAUAAAUCAUAUGAUUAUAAAAAAAAUAUAUCAGGUAGUACUAGUAUAAAUAAUGGAAGUUCUGAUGGUGAUGAAAACAGUAGUGACAAUAGCAGCGGUAGUAGUGACAAUAGCAGCGGUAGUAGUAACAAUAGUAAUAUUAAUUAUAUUGAUAUUUCUGAUGUAAAUAAUUUAAUACAUAAAAAUUUUAGACGUAAUAUUAAUGAUAAAAAUUUUAAUUUAUUAAAAAAAAGAAAUACUACUUCUAAUAGUUUAUUAUAUAUAAAUAUGAAAAAUAUUUUUACAAAUAUUAACGUAACAGCUGUUCGUGAUUUUUUUUGUUAUAUGCAUGGAAAUAAUUAUUCAAAUAAUAUAUCUAUUAAUUCUUAUUUGUAUAUAUCAUGGAAUAUAGGUAAUAUAAUUUAUCAAAAUUUAUAUAGCUCUAGUGAAA
rnacentral:lncRNA from 1 species